GCAGUGCCUUAGCAGCACGUAAAUAUUGGCGUUAAGAUUCUAAAGUUAUCUCCAGUAUUAACUGUGCUGCUGAAGUAAGGU
rfam:Dipodomys ordii contig_69883, whole genome shotgun sequence.